rnacentral:rRNA from 1 species
AGUGAACGCUGGCGGUAGGCCUAACACAUGCAAGUCGAACGGCAGCACAGAGGAGCUUGCUCCUUGGGUGGCGAGUGGCGGACGGGUGAGGAAUACAUCGGAAUCUACUCUGUCGUGGGGGAUAACGUAGGGAAACUUACGCUAAUACCGCAUACGACCUACGGGUGAAAGCAGGGGAUCUUCGGACCUUGCGCGAUUGAAUGAGCCGAUGUCGGAUUAGCUAGUUGGCGGGGUAAAGGCCCACCAAGGCGACGAGCCGUAGCUGGUCUGAGAGGAUGAUCAGCCACACUGGAACUGGGACACGGUCCAGACUCCUACGGGAGGCAGCAGUGGGGAAUAUUGGACAAUGGGCGCAAGCCUGAUCCAGCCAUACCGCGUGGGUGAAGAAGGCCUUCGGGUUGUAAAGCCCUUUUGUUGGGAAAGAAAUCCAUCUGGUUAAUACCCGGGUGGGAUGACGGUACCCAAAGAAUAAGCACCGGCUAGCUUCGUGCCAGCCGCCGCGGUAA